rnacentral:rRNA from 1 species
AUUGAACGCUGGCGGCAGGCCUAAUACAUGCAAGUCGAGCGAGCGGCGGAAGGUUGAGUAAUGUAUGGGGACUGCCCGAUAGAGGGGGAUAACUACUGGAAACGGCUGCUAAUACCGCAUACUGUACGAUAACCCAUUUGGGAUUAGCUAGUAGGUAAUGUAAUUGCUUACCUAGGCGAAGAUCCCUAGCUGGUCUGAGAGGAUGAUCAGCCACACUGUGACGUAGACACGGCCCAUACUCCUACGGAGGCAGCAGUGGGUAAUAUUGCACAAUGGGCGCAAGCCUGAUACAGCCAUGCCGCGUGUAUGAAGAAGGCCCUAGGGUUGUAAAGUACUUUCAGUCGGGAGUCGUUACCGACAGAAGAAGCACCGGCUAACUCCGUGCCAGCCGCCGCGGUAAUUC